rnacentral:snRNA from 1 species
AGCUUUGCACAGUGGCAGUAUUGUAACAAAUGAGGUUUAACCAAGGCACAAUUAUUGAUUAUUGCUAAUUGAAACUAAUCUAACUUAUAGAUUAGGUUUGGGAUAAAUCUAAAAGAGCUUCCUUCUCCUUUCCCUAAAA